AACAUAUGAUGAAUGAAUACACAAUUGGUCCGUGUUUCUGACUUCAUUGAUGUCUGUGCAUUGCUGAUGUU